rnacentral:rRNA from 1 species
CCAUGCAUGUCUAAGUGCAAACCUUUAUACGGUGAAACCGCGAAUGGCUCAUUAAAUCAGCUAUGGUUUAUUGGAUCGUACCCGUUAAAUGGAUAACUGUAAUAACUCUAGAGCUAAUACAUGCCUCGAAGCCCUGACUCUCGGUGGGUAACCAUUGAGGGAAUGGGUGCACUUAUUAGAUCAGAAGCCAACCGUGUAGAGUCGCAAGGCUUUGCAUGUUGUCCUUCUGGUGACUCUGGAUAAUUGUUACAGAUCGCAGUCGGCCUUGAGUCGGCGACGGGUCCUUCAAAUGUCUGCCCUAUCAACUUUCGAUGGUAGGUGACCUGCCUACCAUGGUGAUAACGGGUAACGGGGAAUCAGGGUUCGAUUCCGGAGAGGGAGCCUGAGAAACGGCUACCACUUCCAAGGAAGGCAGCAGGCGCGCAAAUUACCCACUCCCGGUACGGGGAGGUGGUGACGAAAAAUACCGAUGCGGGACUCCUAAAAGAGGCUCCGUAAUCGGAAUGAGUGAACUUUAAAUCCUUUAACGAGGAUCAAUUGGAGGGCAAGUCUGGUGCCAGCAGCCGCGGUAACUCCAGCUCCAAUAGCGUAUAUUAAAGUUGCUGCAGUUAAAAAGCUCGUAGUUGGAUCUCGGUGCAUCACUGUUGCCUGUUAGUAUAUUGGUGCAGUGCUAACGGCUGCCUGUGCAUGGGUUAACGCCUGUGUUGCGGGUAGUCGGCUGUGCCAAGCUAGCAGUGUGGCGGUGUCACCUUUCAGCCAUGUCUGUGGUGAAAUACCCGCAGGUGUAGGCGAGUGUCAGGCGGUGCAUGGCUUAUGUUGUGUCCGUCGGCUCGCUUGCAUGCCUUUGGAUGCCUUUAAUCGGGUGUCUUUGGGCGGAUGGCACGUUUACUUUGAACAAAUUUGAGUGCUCAAACCAGGCCGAUGUUGCCUGAAAAGUUUUGCAUGGAAUAAUGGAAUAGGACUUCGGUUCUAUUUCGUUGGUUUUCGGAUCCGAAGUAAUGAUCAAAAGAGACAGGCGGGGACGUUUGUAUGGCUGCGCUAGAGGUGAAAUUCAUGGACCGUAGCCAGACAAACUAAAGCGAAAGCAUUCGUCAAGCAUGUUUUCAUUGACCAUGAGCGAAAGUCAGAGGCUCGAAGACGAUCAGAUACCGUCCUAGUUCUGACCAUAAACGAUGCCAACUGACGAUCCGUGAUGGUAGUAUAUAAACCUUCCUCACGGGCAGUUCCCGGGAAACCAUUAAGUCUUUGGGUUCCGGGGGAAGUAUGGUUGCAAAGCUGAAACUUAAAGGAAUUGACGGAAGGGCACCACCAGGAGUGGAGCCUGCGGCUUAAUUUGACUCAACACGGGAAAACUCACCCGGCCCGGACACUAUGAGGAUUGACAGAUUGAUAGCUCUUUCUUGAUUUGGUGGUUGGUGGUGCAUGGCCGUUCUUAGUUGGUGGAGCGAUUUGUCUGGUUAAUUCCGAUAACGAACGAGACUCUUGCCUGCUAAUUAGUACAAUCGUCCUCUGUGCCUGUGUCGGCGGCGUUUGACGAGGCUGUUCUAUAUAACUGGUGCAGGUCCCUGGCUUGUUCAGUGCUUCGGUGCUGGGCUUGUUAAGGCCUGUAUUGGUUGGGAUGGCUGGUUCAGCGUUAGUCGCCGGGUACGGCGCGAUUUGUCUACUUCUUAGAGGGACAAGCGGGACAAGCCGCACGAAAUGGAGCAAUAACAGGUCUGUGAUGCCCUUAGAUGUCCGGGGCCGCACGCGCGCUACAAUGACGGUGCCAACGAGUCUGACCUUCUGGCCCGAAAGGGUUGGGCAAACUGGUCAAUCGCCGUCAUGACAGGGAUCGGGGCUUGGAAUUGUUCCCCGUGAACGAGGAAUUCCUAGUAAGUGCAAGUCAUAAGCUUGCGCUGAUUACGUCCCUGCCCUUUGUACACACCGCCCGUCGCUACUACCGAUUGAAUGGUUUAGUAAGGUCCUUGGAUUGGUGCCAUUGUGGUGGCUGUCGCAAGACAAUCACCCGACAGGUGCUGAGAAGACGACCAAACUUGAUCAUUU